UACGUAGGGUCCGAGCGUUGUCCGGAAUUAUUGGGCGUAAAGAGCUCGUAGGUGGUUUGUCGCGUUGUCCGUGAAAAUUCACAGCUUAACUGUGGGCGUGCGGGCGAUACGGGCAGACUGGAGUACUGCAGGGGAGACUGGAAUUCCUGGUGUAGCGGUGGAAUGCGCAGAUAUCAGGAGGAACACCGGUGGCGAAGGCGGGUCUCUGGGCAGUAACUGACGCUGAGGAGCGAAAGCGUGGGGAGCGAACAGG
rnacentral:rRNA from 1 species